UGGGGCAUGGAUUAAGCGCACAAACACGUGGGUCGCAUCGGAAAAAAGGAACGCUGGUGAACGUUUCUUCUCGCUCACAUUGCGUAUCCACGUGCAAGAGAUCUGACCAAUCUUGUCCAGGUGCCGUUACUUUUCGGAUUAAAACGUCUGCCGGCUCGUUUAAUAGCUCAUUCUUUUUCAGUUACUUCUUUCUAGUAGACUCGGUCGUGUAGGUAGGUGUACAGGAUGAUUUUUUGUGGAAAUCCAGGUUUAUUUGUACCAGAAGAAAGUGAAUUAGUAGAUUGUUGUAAUGAUGAAAAAUUUGGGACUAUGGUCCUCUAAUAUCUGAAAUGAUUUUAUCAAAUUGUGAUCAUGAUUGCAUUAUGGUUGCAUUAAACCCGAGUAUUUCUACUGUGAUGAUCAAUGAAAUAUGACUCAAGGUCCAGAUUCAUCAGGAAAGGGAGAAGUGUUGCAAUUAUUUCGUAUGUGUUCUAAGUUGAUUGAGAAUAGUGUCGACGGUCAGGAUCCAAGGAUGGCUUGAAAGGGUUCACGAUGAGGAUUACUCGUUCAGUGAAGAGGGGAUCGACAGAACCGCGAUGCAUUUACAGAAGAAAAUUAAAAGCGGAGCUUCACCGGUGGAAGAUCAGUAAAAGACGCUUUCAGUAAAACGAUAAGUACUCUUUCUUUUCAUCCAUAAUUCAAUAUAUUAUAUCGGCUGAUAAUAAGGUUGCUCGUUGGAAUUUCAGGAUCCAAUGCGGUGAGGUGUUCCGGAAGUUGGGCCGCCAUGUAUCUUGUGCCAAGCGACAGAAACUCCGAUGAAUUUGCGCGAGAUAAUGAUCGACCACGGUUUUUAAUCGUGUUUCGAGUCGAUCCUUUCCUCUAAGAAGUCCAGACUGUUCCUGUGAUCGGCAUCGAUGUUGUUCAGAAUGUUGCACAAACGAAGCAACCUCGUUUCAUAAGAAUAAUUAUCCUUCGAUUCUUCGUUUGACAAUAGAUCUGAACACACGGAUGUCAUGUCGAUCUCCAACGGGUAGACUUGCACGUUUCGGCCGUAUCUGUUGGAGAUAUUAAAUUUGUUAGAAAAUGUUUGAAAUACAUAUAGAAAGUCUGACAUGAUUCGAUGACGUAAAAAUUUCACAAAACAGCACUUAUAGUUUAAACUUGCCUAAUAAAAUUCAAAUCAUUUCUUCCUCGUUUAUACUCUCUGUCACUGUUCAUCGUUCUGAAUCCAGAUCGACCGAAUCUGAUCACGAUGUCCGGUGAUUUCCAACGAGGAUACCUGUUUACUUUCGAGCUACCAUCGUCACCGUUCAAAAUUUUCUCCACGUUACCAUCCGGAUCGCUGCGACCGUAUCUGAUGAACGAAGAACCCGGGUUGCUUCGUCGUUCCUUUAAAUCAGAAUCCUCUGAACGACCAUCCCCGUUGCUGUGUCUCUUCAGCACGUAGUCGAAAUCGCUGGACGGAUCCUUGAAGAUCCUUAGGCUACCGUCGGCCUUCAGAGGAGUCAAUAUCGACGAUGACACCAAUACGUAGUUGCAGAGGAACGGCAACACGUACAGAGAUGAUAACAGGGUCUACGACAAUAGAACAUAACACAUAUUUUUAGUUAAGUUAAUUAAAAUAAUCUUUCCUAUACAUACUAAUGUGUUGCUCGAAUAGUAGAGCCGGGUCAAUCGUGACCUAGAUCUAUGGAAUUUAUACAACUGUACUUCAAUUAAGAUAUUGCAAGAUAAAAACGAACGAAGAGAAAUAGAAACACGUAGCCACGGUUAUAGUACGAGCUCAUUAUUUAUAUUACGCAACAAGGUGGACAAACGAUAGUAUCUUGUUUACAUUCCUCGAGAUUAUUCGAGAUGCAACAAGCUAGCACAAGGUUAGCGAUAAAUAAUAUCGACGGGUUAUUAGCUGUCUUAACAGGAUGUUUAGUGAUAGCAACGGUAUACCGAGCAAGAUUAAUACCGUUGCCUUACGUUACUUUAAUUAACCCCGUACGCGGCCACCCUUCAUAAUGGUUGCGUCGGCUACGAAACUUGCCACCGGUUUCUACUAAAAACCAACAGAUUUACGACGUUACUCUGAGAAAAUAACGAUAUUAACGGACGUGAUGCUCGUUAUUAUUAUUCUUUAUGUACGAUCAGUCUCGUCUGUACUUGUCGGUGACGAAUCGAGACGAAGAAAUGUUAAGAGAAAGAUUUGAAGGUAAAGAGUGAAA